rnacentral:rRNA from 1 species
UACGGAGGGUGCAAGCGUUAUCCGGAUUCACUGGGUUUAAAGGGUGCGUAGGUGGGCAGGUAAGUCAGUGGUGAAAUCUCCGGGCUUAACCCGGAAACUGCCAUUGAUACUAUCAGUCUUGAAUACCGUGGAGGUAAGCGGAAUAUGUCAUGUAGCGGUGAAAUGCUUAGAAUAUGACAUAGAACACCAAUUGCGAAGGCAGCUUACUACCCGAAAUAUUGACACUGAGGCACGAAAGCGUGGGGAUCAAACAGGA